GGACCGAGUCGGACGUACCGCUAGUGUAUCUGUUGUGCCGCCAGGUGCAGCGCAGAGUAGCUAUGUACGGACUAGAUAAGCGCUGAAAGCAUCUAAGCGCGAAGCUAUCCUUAAGAUGAGUGUUACUUGGGGUCGUAGAAGACGACUACGUUGAUAGGCUACAGGUGGAAUCGUAGUAAUACGUUGAGCCGAGUAGUACUAAUUACCCCGUAACUUCCUUUU
rnacentral:rRNA from 1 species